rnacentral:rRNA from 1 species
AUUGAACGCUGGCGGCAGGCCUAACACAUGCAAGUCGAGCGGAUGAAGGGAGCUUGCUCCCGGAUUCAGCGGCGGACGGGUGAGUAAUGCCUAGGAAUCUGCCUGGUAGUGGGGGAUAACGUCCGGAAACGGGCGCUAAUACCGCAUACGUCCUGAGGGAGAAAGUGGGGGAUCUUCGGACCUCACGCUAUCAGAUGAGCCUAGGUCGGAUUAGCUAGUUGGUGGGGUAAAGGCCUACCAAGGCGACGAUCCGUAACUGGUCUGAGAGGAUGAUCAGUCACACUGGAACUGAGACACGGUCCAGACUCCUACGGGAGGCAGCAGUGGGGAAUAUUGGACAAUGGGCGAAAGCCUGAUCCAGCCAUGCCGCGUGUGUGAAGAAGGUCUUCGGAUUGUAAAGCACUUUAAGUUGGGAGGAAGGGCAGUAAGUUAAUACCUUGCUGCUUUGACGUUACCAACAGAAUAAGCACCGGCUAACUUCGUG